rnacentral:rRNA from 1 species
UACGAAGGGGGCGAGCGUUGUUCGGAUUUACUGGGCGUAAAGGGCGCGUAGGCGGCCCUCCUUGUCGCGUGUGAAAGCCCCGGGCUCAACCUGGGAAUUGCGCGCGAAACGGGGGGGCUUGAGUUCGGGAGAGGAGCGUGGAAUUCCCAGUGUAGAGGUGAAAUUCGUAGAUAUUAGGAAGAACACCAGUGGCGAAGGCGGCUCACUGGCCCGGUACUGACGCUGAGGCGCGAAAGCGUGGGAGCGAACGGAU